ACCACAACGGGUGGAGCCUGCGGUUUAAUUGGACUCAACGCCGGGCAGCUCACCGGAUAAGACAGCUGGAUGAUAGCCGGGCUGAAGACUCUGCUUGACUAGCUGAGAGGAGGUGCAUGGCCGUCGUCAGUUCGUACCGUGAAGCAUCCUGUUAAGUCAGGCAACGAGCGAGACCCACGCCAACAGUUGCCAGCAUGUCCUCCGGGAUGGUGGGGACACUGUUGGGACCGCCUCUGCUAAAGAGGAGGAAGGAAUGGGCAACGGUAGGUCAGCAUGCCCCGAAUUAUCUGGGCUACACGCGGGCUACAAUGGGUGGGACAAUGGGUAUCGACACCGAAAGGUGAAGGCAAUCUCCUAAACCCAUCCGUAGUUCGGAUUGUGGGCUGCAACUCGCCCACAUGAAGCUGGAAUCUGUAGUAAUCGUGUCUCAAAAUGGCACGGUGAAUAUGUCCCUGCUCCUU
rnacentral:rRNA from 1 species